rnacentral:rRNA from 1 species
GAUGAACGCUGGCGGCGUGCCUAAUACAUGCAAGUCGAGCGAACGGACGAGAAGCUUGCUUCUCUGAUGUUAGCGGCGGACGGGUGAGUAACACGUGGAUAACCUACCUAUAAUACUGGGAUAACUUCGGGAAACCGUAGCUAAUACCGGAUAAUAUUUUGAACCGCAUGGUUCAAAAGUGAAAGACGGUCUUGCUGUCACUUACAGAUGGAUCCGCGCUGCAUUAGAUAGUUGGUAAGGUAACGGCUUACCAAGGCAACGAUGCAUAGCCGACCUGAGAGGGGGAUCGGCCACACUGGAACUGAGACACGGUCCAGACUCCUACGGGAGGCAGCAGUAGGGAAUCUUCCGCAAUGGGCGAAAGCCUGACGGAGCAACGCCGCGUGAGUGAUGAAGGUCUUCGGAUCGUAAAACCCUGUUAUUAGGGAAGAACAUAUGUGUAAGUAACUGUGCACAUCUUGACGGUACCUAAUCAGAAAGCCACGGCUAACUACGUG